rnacentral:lncRNA from 1 species
AAACGUUCUCUAUAAGGUACCGUUUACUCUCUCUCACUCUCUGUAUUUUCUAUUACUACAUUUUCUCUGAUUUUGAUUUUCUUCAGCUACAUUUCAACACAACUAUUUAUGAUCAACACAUUUCAGUGAUUUUACCCUAAGAUCAAAGAUGGGAAAAGGAAAAACAAAAGAAGAAAAGAAGAAAUUGCCGAGGAUUGUUGUUUUAUGUGCAAGGAUGGUGGUGAAAUGAGGGUCUGUGAUUCUAAGUAAGUUCUCCAAAAUUAUUAUUUCAUACUACUGUAUUUUUUCCUAUUUUGUACUAAAACGAAAAUUAAUUUUCAGUAUUGAAAUUCUGGCACACACGAGUUCCGAUGUUGAACUUGAUGCUUCACCACUGUAAUACAGUUUCAAUGCUUGAUCCAAUGAUUCAACAUCUAACAGCGCAUACGAAAUGAACAAUAAACUUAACAAACAGAAAACAAAAUAACACAGUUAUUUGUUAACCCAGUUCAACAUAAGCCUACUCUGGGGGAUACCAAUCAAGGAGUGAAUCCACUAUGAUAGUAUUAGUUUGAAGCCCUCAAUAAACGUCCUGUUUAAUACUUCUCACCUAAUCACUACCCGUGCUGUAUUCUACCUAAGACACACCUAGGUAUGAGAACCUCCGCUCACCUCCUCUUGACCACAACCACUGUGAUCGUACACUAUAACAUUCAACAGGUGAAGACACACUUCAUAAAACACUCACCACUUCCGUACUUCAAAGCUUUGGAAUGGUGUACACACACUAUCUUCUUGAUUAGAAGCUCCAGAGAUAUUACAACACAAAGACACACAAUUCUUAAUCUUGCAUCAAAUCAACACAAGACUCAUAACACAAUCACACAGUACUAAAACAUAAACUCACGCUUUGUAAAACACAAAUCUGGUUUUCAGUACUUUGAACGAUGGUGUCAGCUUCUUUAAAUAGCCUGCGCUAGCAUGGGCUAGGUCUUGAAUUGGGCUUCGAAAACUCAGCAGGAUUAAAGGUUCCUUUAGCGAAUAUUCUUCGAACAGAUGUUUUGUUUCCUUAAUUGGAUGAUCUGAUUAGCAAACAAAACUAGGUUAUGGCUUCCUUCUGAACCCUAAGAAACGGCGCUACUUGGCGCACAAGUAGAAUUUGCGUGGAUUCCAUAAAUAGAAAAGAGCGCGAGAUCACAAUGUAACAGGCCCGGCCCACUGGAUAUGGUAUCCAAUGUUGAAGCAUUCUAUGCAAUCUUGCUUGUACUUGGAUGAUGGAAGCAUGAAGUUCCACAUCUGGUUUGGUUAUUUAUUUUAGCAAAAUGAGGCCAUCAUAAAACGCCAACAAUCUCCCCCUUUGACAAUUUUUGGCUAAAACAACCUAAGAUUAUUUCAACUGUUCUAGAGAGAUACAUAAACUACCUUUCUUCAAAUCAACAUAAGCACACAGUCAUGAAGUAAAGUAGAACAUCUUCAAAUGCUUCUUUCAAUAGCUCCUUAGAUGAAAAUAGCAAAUAAGAAUAGAAGUAUCAAAAUAUAACAACAGAGGCAUGCAACAGCGGAAUGGUAAGCACAACUAGCCUCACAUGAAUUCGCCAAUAGAGAGUAUAAGAUUCUCAUAAUAAGAAACACUAGGGAAAAAUAAAUUCCCUCGAGACUGAGAAAAAUAAAUUCUCAGGAACAGAUGAUGCUUCGGCAUACAUUAGCACAUUAUGUGCUGAGCAGAAAAAUAUUGCUCCCCCUCAAUAUCAGAGGCGAGUACACCAUAAUGCAUCUUACUCUCCCUCAAUUCGUGCAUAAUAGAUAAUUUACAGGCAUAAUCACUAUUACUCCCCCUCACUGCGUUUGCACGAAAAAAUUACUUGUUUUCAGAUGAUCCAUCAUCUGAUAGCACAUUAGGGAUGAUUCAACAUCCAAUAGCUCAUCAUAGCACAAUACAAUACCAAACUACUCCCCCUUUUUAGCCACAAAAUAGACAAAUAGGGUCUUCAUAAAAUAAUAUCCAGAAGUAGUGCAGAGAAUAUCAGAACAUAAAGUGCAGAAAAAUAUUACAGACCAUGCACACUAGGUGCUAAAUUCAGGGCUCAGCCCACAUACUUGAAAAUAAAUCCAUAAAACAAAGGAGAAAAUUACACAGAAGCACUUUCUGAGGAAUCACUUCCUUCCUCUUCAGCAUAUGACUCAGCUUCCUCUUCUUCAGCACUUGCAUCAUCAUCUGCACCAGCUGCUUGAUCUGUAGCCUCUUCAACCCUCAGAGCAUGAAUCAUCCUUUCAAAUUGCAGCUUCUUUUCAUCCAGCUCCUUGCAGUUAGCUUCCAGCAUAUCUAUCAUCUCCUUCCUUGUCAUGGGAGUAUCAGCAGCAGCAGUGGAUGGUCCAGCAAUAUCUGGAGCAUGCUGUUUACUGUACAACUUCUGAUGAAUGGCUAGGGGAGUUGCCCUUUUCUUAGCAGAUUCACCCUCAUGUCUUAUGCUAGGGUGUUGGGAAAAGAUGAUAUCACAAAGCAGUGUUGGAAAAGCAAUGAGUUGCUUGGUGAUUGAGGUCUUAGCAUGCUGCACAACUUGAUUAAAAAUAUACUGACCAGCAUUAAACUUUGUACCUGUACCAAUCAUAUAAAUGAGCUUACCCAGACUUGUUGCAACAUCAGAGGCGUACGUAGUGGGAACCCAAUUUACAGAGGCAAUACGAUUCAGGAUGGCAUGCUUUUGAGUUAGCUUUACUGCAGGAUGGUAUGCUUUUAGUUAGUAGAUGAACUUCCUAGUAACUAUUUGAACCAUAUAAUUUGUAGAUGAUCAUAUGAUACAAUUUAAUUCUUGAUAUUUUUUUAGUUAUUUAUGUGUUUAAUAUGAUUUUUAUAAGUUGACAAAUUUGUGAAUUGAUAUGUGAUUAUCAACACUAACUUUUGGAACUAGAAUUAAGAUAAUUGAUCAAUCAAUAAUGACUUUAGACAUAAUAAACUAUCGAAAUUUGAUAGUCAGAAUUAAUGUAGGAUAAAACUUUCAAUUAUUUCGGAUUCGCGUGAGACAUUAGGAUGUUGUUGUCGCCAAAUAGGGUUUUGAGCCAAUACAAUAGCCUUAACUAUUUUAUCAAUUCAUCAUGAUAUUAGGAGUACAGUGUAAUAUAUGACUGCAAUUAUCAAAUAGUGAUACCUAAUCAAUCCUCUUUAAUCUUUGAAAUAAAACUGAAUAAUUGAGUUGCUUUUGGUUGAGCCAAUGGGCUUGACAAAUUUAAAAGGAUUUAGAGGCCCAAUAUUGAAAACAGCAACAGAACAAGCCCACACGUGAAAAACCCUAGAAUCGAAAUUCAGAGUCAUCUUCUUCGAACGCCUUUGUUUGGUUUAGCGAUUUGCGAGCAGCGAAUUUCUUGAAUCCAAGCUCCAAACAUGGCGAAAACCAAUCGCACAGUGUUGCAAUUCUCUUCAUCUUCUUCGUCUUCUCAGAGCUUAUCCGCUAAGGUUCACCCUCUUG